rnacentral:rRNA from 1 species
UACGUAGGGUGCAAGCGUUAAUCGGAAUUACUGGGCGUAAAGCGUGCGCAGGCGGUUGUGCAAGGGCGAUGUUAAAUCCCCGGGCUUAACCUGGGAAUGGCAUUGGUGACUGCACGGCUAGAGUGUGUCAGAGGGGGGUAGAAUUCCACGUGUAGCAGUGAAAUGCGUAGAGAUGUGGAGGAAUACCGAUGGCGAAGGCAGCCCCCUGGGAUAACACUGACGCUCAUGCACGAAAGCGUGGGGAGCAAACAGG